rnacentral:rRNA from 1 species
UCACCACGGUAGGAUUCAUGACUGGGGUGAAGUCGUAACAAGGUAGCCGUAUCGGAAGGUGCGGCUGGAUCACCUCCUUUCC